AUCCGCGAGGCGCUUCAAGCCAAGUUAAAAAUUAAAACAUUUUGCUCAAGCAUCCACAAAAAGUGUCGCGAACCGAACCUGCACGAAAUUUGCGUAUGCUCGAGGUGCGUGGCCCCGCCGAAGGUGAACCACAAACACCCCGCUGAAGGCGGAGGGCUCCCCGUCUCCAGUGUCCAUCAACCCGCGAGUUAUUGGUGCGACGGUGAAAGAGUGCGGGAAGUUGAAGGUUUCCCCUUCCGUGUGAGUCAAGCAACAGCGGACAGGCAAAUCGUUUGUGGUGAUCCCUCCACACAUCUUCCCACGCAUAGCAGAGCAUCUUUCCACGGGUAUAGACCCGUGAAUCCUAGUGGCCAAGAUAGAAAACUGGUGGAGCUGAAGAGCGUCACAAACACCCCCUCAUAAAACCCGUCACGGAACGCGAAGCGAGUCGCGGAAUGCGCCGCGCUUCGCUCGCACACGUCACACGAUUAGCAGCGGAAGUUAUCGGCAGGUGUUGCAGGGAAUGAGCGGGUGAUUCCGAGUGACGCAAAAAAGCGAGGUGACAAUAAUGGCGUGCGAUGCAGGAAGGGCCUCCCAUACACCACCGCCACCCAACCGGCCGUGACAAUUGUGUUGAAUGUAAAGGUCGUUAACGGUCGAUACAACAACGGGAUCCUGUAGUGGAGUCCGUAGUUCGAAAGUGUACCCUGGGACGCUGGUUCCGGGCGGAUUCGAAAAGCUACCGAGUGUACAGUGCCAGUGGUGACACGGCACACGGCAGGCGCAGCAGCAGUAGUAGGCGCCGUCGUCGUCGCCGCGAGUGUGUUCUAGGUUGCGUGACCAUUUGAAUGUGGCAGUGAACGGUGAACCAUAUCUACUCACACACUGAGCAGGUUGUGCACUUUUCUCGAGCACCGCGCUCUUAUCAUACGCUAUCGCGCACGACCCCAGCAGGUGUGUUUGGCUAGGUUUUGUGCAAAAAAACAGUGCCAUCAACUACUCUUCCACGUGCUUCCGGUGGCUGUCGGCCGAAGCGGAAAAUGACGAAAAAAUCGUUAAGAAAGCCGAUCAUGGUGCUGCGGAGCCGCAAGACGGCCAUCAUCAAGGACGGCGUGAUAACGGUAACUAAACUAACAGUAUCUCUGAAUACCGCUUAUGAUGAUGCUAUGCCAGAUCUACAUUUCCUAACCGAAAUGAUGAUGAUGAUGAUGAUGACGGAGGAGGAGGAAGAUGUUGUGUAGUGUGUAAGCAUGUAGCCGAACGCGUGAUUUCAAAAUUGCACAGAAGACUCCAGCAAUGUGUUCAGUGACCGUGUCUCAAAAUACCUCCUCCCAAUCCAAGAAGCGCUACUUUGUACGAAGCGGCUGUACCUGUGGGGUCUACCACGUGAAUCGAUAACCGCGACCGACCAGUCGGGUAUGUGAAGCACACUCCGGCUACUGUGUUUUCAUUAUUCCAACACGUUCACAACAUGUGCUUUUGUGCUACGUGCCGAUAGAACGAUGGAACGAGCACCGGGUAAUUCUUUUUCGGCUCGGUUGUGACUCCGAAAAGCUAUUAAAUCGUCGGCAUAAUGUUUCAUCUAUUUUCCGGUUGCGGAACCGUUUGCUUCGAAAACUCGAGCAAAAGGCAACCGACCGCCUGGUCGAUACUUACCGUUUUGUGUGUUCUUAUCGUCUCGUUGAUCAGGUUCGGGGGAAAAUCUCCGUCGAAACGAUAAGUCCACUAGCAGUUCGCAUCCUGUGAUGCUCGCCGGUCGUGUGUCUUCGGGUAUACUCACGGUACCAUUGCACGACCGGCGACAGCCAGAGAGUGAGAGAGAAUCGAACCGGAAUACCUAUGUCAGCUGUAAUCCCGCUGUAUAGCCAACGGCCGAUCUUUAGCUAUGUUUGUACAUCGAAAAUGGUUCCAUCUCUCACAAGCGCUCUCUCGGUCCCGUGGUGUCCCACCACACGAUCGAUGUAUGGUGUUGUCUGGCGAGCAAAACCCUCUUAGCAAGCUUGCUGCCGUGCUCAUCACCGUACGCUUCGCUCCGUAUGCCUGCUGAUGUUGAUGCAUAAUGCUGCUCGCCAGUUCGUGUUUUGCCGUCGAACGCGAAUCUAGCAGGCUCUGCUCCGUGUUUUUGGUUUCUAUUUAGUUUUGAAAGAGAGACGGAGAGAGAGACUAAAAGAUGGUGGAUUUUUGGUAGCGCCAGCAGCGAAUUCCGACCCGAUUGUGGGGUGGCGAAAACGGGAAAAUCAGUUUUCUUUGCCCGUGUAUUCUCGGAUCGAAAAACAAAAAUCGUUUUUAAGUUCCAAGCGCAAGUAAUCACAGUAGACCGAGCCAGCAGCAAUAGUGGCAGGAUCGAUCGAAAGUGCCUGCUACGUUGUAAAGGGUGUGAGUGAGUGUAUACGCCGAGUGUGUGUUCUGUUGAGAAAAGCAAGUUCGUGAGGUACCACCAGAUCAAUUCUGCUUUAAAGUAGUGCAACCAACCAUCCGGAGAAUCGCCCGUAUCCAUCAGUUCGCUUAUCCGCGUGUUACACCAAAGUUGGAGCUGACGAAAAGCUGAAAAUUUAGGAAAAUAAGAAAAGAAAAGAAAAAAGAGAGAAUUACGGGAGGUUUACACCAUACCAAAGUCCACGCAGUGCGACAAUAAUCUGAAAAAUGUGGCAGUGGGCAAGAGAAGGUGCUGCUUGAUUGAAUUCUUCGCGUCCAUCCAGUUCCAGUCUCACUACCGUUGUUCGUUCCGGAUUUCGCUGUGCACAGCACACUACGAUCGAGUUUUGAAAACAUACAACAUCUAUAGUUAUCGAGCCAUCCCAGUGAGAAAGGGCAUAAUAUUGCUGUGGCAACGAAAACCGAACCAAAGUCUCCUCCUUGAACCAUCAACGUGUACGGCAAACGGUUUGUGUGUGUGUUUUCGUUUGGGGCAAAGGUGGAAAAGGAGUAUCAGCAGAAGCAAUGCAAAACACAGCAUCAGCACAGAAACGUCCCACACGGCAACCGACAUCCUGCCCGAGGGAUGAUCCCACACGGCAAACACCUUCCAGAGUGAGCAAACCGACCAUAUAGGAGCGAAGGAACAUACAGCCAUUAAUGAAAGAGGGUGCUACAGUCGGUGGUUUAAAAUACACAAAAGCAAAGGCGCGAGAACGGGCAUCUUGAUAACCCUGGACACUCUUCUCCACUUAUGCAAGAAACGCUGCAAUCGAUCGUGAAAACCCCCAGUUUUCUUCCGUAAUUUAGUGCCUAUCAAAAUACACACAGUUACUACCACUACCGCAGGAACGCAAGUGCCGUUCAACGCAUUCAGCUUUAUCCAUCAUCUGUUAUACUUUUUGCGACCUCGCCUCGAAGACUUCGAAUGAGAGAGAAAGAAUAGAAAGGAGAAGCAAUCGUACAAAGCUGUCAUCGGAAAAAAAGGAUUUAAAGGACUGAAAGUGAGGCAGAGCCAAACAACGAGCAACCAAGCAAGCAAAUCUCUAUAUAUUUUUCUGAAUCAUCUUGCAUCGUGUCUCGACGUUCUGUGCAGGACUCCGACGUGCGAAAGCUGCCAUAACUGCUGCAUUAGAUUGCUAGCCACAAUAUCGUGCUCCAGUGUAGACGAAGGAAAAGAGCCUCGAGCACGAAGCGACGCGCAUACCUCAUACAUCGAGUGAAUAGUUACGCAAGAACGGGCGAGAAACUGAGACAGUAAUAUGUACUUAUGAUUUUUGGCCACCUACAGAGUUCCAUUUGGUGGUCUGAAUUGCUGAAAGAGAUUUCUAUUUUUCUGAACCCACAAAGAAGGCAGAAGUGAACGAGAAGAGUACCAUACCCCCUCCCGACGAGAGCUGCCAGUUUAGAUACCGCCCAUCGCCCCCCCCCCCCUCCCCUUGGCGGAGGGGUGCAGGACCUACCGAUAAGAGAGAUUGUCCGUCCGUCCGUCCGUCAUCGCAUUUGGCGUGCUCGGUUGACCGAAAUUGCGAGAAAUCCGCGAGAAGUACAUAAGCGAGCGAACGAGCGAGCGUGGCGUUGUUGGUGGUCGGUUGCUACCGGCGUUCGUUGUUAAUUUUAGAAACCUUUUAGAAACGUCCUUUCCCUGUUAACCGGCUCCCAGGAAGGGGCUUGUGCCGGGGAAAUUACGGGAAACGGGAGAUCUCACCAUACCAGCAUCACUCUUUGGGUGAAUGAUCAGCACCAGCUUGGCGUACUGUUUGGCAAUCAUCACCGAGAGUGGAAAAAAGAAGAUAAACAGUCCACUUUCUCACUCUUUCGCGAGACAUUCGUCUGUGCGAAGGUCGAAGUAGAUCGCAAGCAUAUAGCCCAUUCGCAGACUAGGUCGGGACACAGGUGUGCUGCUGUUCUAAUGAUCCCUGUUCGGUGUGUUCACUGUUAUCACCGUUGUUGCUGUUGUUGUUGUUGUGGAACGAGUGGCGGAAGUACGAGGGAGUGUGUUGCAGACACGUGUUCGAGCAUCGCUGGCAACGCACCGCAGAAUCUGAUGAAACUAGCGAGUGUCGAUCGGUGUAGGACAACAUCGAUCGUUCCGGUUGGCAGCAGGGAGCAGUACGAGCGGCAGCAGCAGGAGUAGAGGGACUGAAGGCAAUCGUAGCACAACGUGGACAAGGUGGUCAAGAAGGAGAGAGACAGCGAGAGAGAGAGGAAAACGUCAGAAGAAAGUCAAUUCAGUGGCGCGGAGUAAUUGCACGAAGAACGGGAAACGAUUAUAGUACAAGUGAUGGAGCAUUCUGCGAAGCGAAAUUCGGUUGAGGAGCGGACCGGAGGUGGCUUUUCCGGCCAAGCGCGAUCCGCUGGGAGUGCAUGUGAUGCCGAUGUCUGUGAUAGAAGCAAGUUUGUGAGUGGUGGUGGUGGUGGUGGUGGGGGCCGGAUUGAACCGGUUUUAGCCAGACUGGACCGAGGAGCACCGGAUCUUCCAGUGGCCGAGGAUAGCUGCACUGAUACAGACGAUCAGAAUAGCAACUAUCUGAGCAUCAGCAAUAGCCGCAGUAGCAGUUGUUUCGAUCUGCCUGGCGAAUGUGCACCGAUGAUCGCCGGGAACA